GAUGAAGAACGUAGCGAAAUGCGAUACUUGGUGUGAAUUGCAGAAUCCCGUGAACCAUCGAGUCUUUGAACGCAAGUUGCGCCCGAAGCCAUUAGGCCGAGGGCACGCCUGCCGGGCGUCACACGUCGUUGCCCCCCCAUCUACUCCUUCGGGAUUGCGGGGGGCGGAUGAUGGCCUCUCGUGCGCCUCGUCGCGCGGUUGGCCUAAAUGCCAAGUCCUCGGCGACGCACGCCACGACAAUCGGUGGUUGCGAAACCUCGGUUGCCUGUCGUGUGCGGUCGUCGCGCAUCGAGGGCUCGAAAAAAUUGCCGGGCUCCGGCUCGGCUUUCAACGCGACCCCAGGUCAGGCGGGGUUACCCGCUGAAUUUAAGCAUAUCAAUAAGCGGAGGA
rnacentral:misc_RNA from 1 species